rnacentral:rRNA from 1 species
UACGGAGGAUGCGAGCGUUAUCCGGAUUUAUUGGGUUUAAAGGGUGCGUAGGCGGGUUAUCAAGUCAGCGGUAAAAUCGUGGAGCUCAACUCCAUCCAGCCGUUGAAACUGAUGAUCUUGAGUGGGCGAGAAGUAUGCGGAAUGCGUGGUGUAGCGGUGAAAUGCUUAGAUAUCGCGCAGAACCCCGAUUGCGAAGGCAGCGUACCGGCUCCACACUGACGCUGAGGCACGAAAGCGUGGGUAUCGAACAGG